AACACACACACACACACAUACAACUUGCCAAUCAGUAGUAGUUUUAGAACUCAGCAAGAAAUCUGUCUGGUGCAAGUUCGUGGCAUGCUAGUCAUUUAUCAUCUGACACGUGUUUUCUUUCCCUGAUGAUAGGUGAGCGAGCGGUCAGUGGUUCGGUCUGCAUCCGGUCAUCGUCUUUACGGACACGGUCUGGACUUUGACUGGGUGCACUUGUCUGUUGACCCAUAGGAAGGCUUGAUGUGUUUAUUAUUCCAGACCACACCAUGACCAUGUCUAGACUGGGGCUGUUUCAUAGCUUCCAACUGCCUUCUUUAUGGCUUGUACUUCUAGUCACUUGAAUGACGUGUUAGUACCGGCACUUGAUUAGUUUUCCACAUGAGGUUUAUAUUCUCUACAAGCACACGUUUCUGAUACCAACCUCUCUUUGCCUUUUGUGUUGUUCAUUUAGUGAGGGUACGUGCUAGUCACAGUGUACUUGAUAGAAGCAUUCAUCCUGUAUUUUCAUACAUCAAAGAAAACUAAUAGGCGCAUUAUUAUUCGACAGCUUACAUCUAGGAAAUGGGUUGUAUCCCAUGAAUCUCAAAUGUUUUCCUAGAGCCUUGAUGUCUUUCGUUGUUUUGUAAUGUAGUUGUGUUGCUUUGUUCUUGACAUUUUAUAAAGGUGUUGUUUUUUUUCCUUGCUUAGGUUGUAAACAAUGGCCAAG